rnacentral:rRNA from 1 species
UACGAAGGGGGGGCUAGCGUUGCUCGGAAUCACUGGGCGUAAAGGGUGCGUAGGCGGGUCUUUUAAGUCAGGGGUGAAAUCCUGGAGCUCAACUCCAGAACUGCCUUUGAUACUGAAGAUCUUGAGUUCGGGGAGAGGUGAGUGGAACUGCGAGUGUAGAGGUGAAAUUCGUAGAUAUUCGCAAGAACACCAGUGGCGAAGGCGGCUCACUGGCCCGAUACUGACGCUGAGGCACGAAAGCGUGGGGAGCAAACAGG